AGGCGCAGCUCCGCGGUGAGCGACGGUUCUGCGACCCUCCCUCCCCGCACUGUCGGCCGAAGGUCCGAGUGCCAGUCACUCCCGCCCUGGAGCGCGAGUGGAGAUGCAAAAAUGUCCUUUGGUAAAGAUAAAAGAUUUGAAAAGAAAAAAAUGAUAAAUACACAAGGACGUAUCCGAGCCCACUACAAAGAGUAAAUCAGUUGACAACAUUUUGGAAGCUGGGAAUCAAAUCUUUAUUGAUCUGGGAAGACAUCACCCGUGGCCUGUACUGAGGGAAGCCAAGAAGGAGCUCACUUAGUGGGUCUAGGAAGGUCUGGGAGGUACCGCAGCCUCGCCUCUGAGAAAGGAUGGUGGGUGGGAAUGAACCGGAGGCUCCCCUCUACCUCCUGCCAUCGCCUGCACAUGCCGUACUUCGCCUCCGUGGUGGCGGGAGAACAGAGAAACUUCCUUCCAGGGGAUCUGAACCAGGCCUGGUUUGAGACACCAGGCAGCUAAGACUGGGACGCAGCGAGCCACGAGAACGCUGGCCCGUAGGCUUGUGCCUGCUCCACUGCAAACACCAUCCUUCCCCCAGACCCACAGGCACGGCGAAUACCACUGCUUUGCUUCCCGACGUUCAUCAAGGAAAAUGUGAACCUUCUAUCUGAGUGUCAUGAAAAGUUUGCAGACCCUCUGAAUUCCAUCCCCUGGUGCCGGGUUAAGAACCCCUUUGCCCAGCGAGGAGCUGUGGUAGUGCUGCAGCAGAGACCAACCUCCAG